UACAGAGGGGGCAAGCGUUGUUCGGAAUUACUGGGCGUAAAGGGCGCGUAGGCGGCCUGUUAAGUCGAACGUGAAAUCCCCGGGCUCAACCCGGGAACUGCGUCCGAUACUGGCAGGCUUGAAUUCGGGAGAGGGAUGCGGAAUUCCAGGUGUAGCGGUGAAAUGCGUAGAUAUCUGGAGGAACACCGGUAGCGAAGGCGGCAUCCUGGACCGAGAUUGACGCUGAGGCGCGAAAGCCAGGGGAGCAAACGGG
rnacentral:rRNA from 1 species